rnacentral:rRNA from 1 species
UACAGAGGGUGCGAGCGUUGUCCGGAAUCACUGGGCGUAAAGGGCGCGUAGGCGGCGCGGUAAGCGUGCGGUGAAAGCCCGGGGCUCAACCCCGGGUCGGCCGUGCGGACUGCCGGGCUGGAGCACUGUAGAGGCAGGUGGAAUUCCGGGUGUAGCGGUGGAAUGCGUAGAGAUCCGGAAGAACACCGGUGGCGAAGGCGGCCUGCUGGGCAGUAGCUGACGCUGAAGCGCGACAGCGUGGGGAGCAAACAGGAUUAGAUACCCGUAG